UGCAUCACUUUCCCCACCAGUCUUAUGAUCCUGCCACGUUCAUCUUGCGGGAGUAGGUCAUCCGAGCCACAUAUGUUAAAUUCACUUUUGUCAUGGAAGACAUUUCUUCCGUCUUUCAUUCGUUGUAAUCUAUAUGCAAACCAUACGUAUCCGAAAAUGUUUGCGAGGGUAACGUUUUAUCCAACCUUACUUUAUAACGUCGUCAUGGAAAAGAUUACGACCCGGAACUGGUACGAUAGGAUAGACGAGACUGUUGUACUGGGCGCCUUACCGUUUCGACGAAUGACCAAGCAGUUAAUCGACGAUGAAAAUAUCAAGGCUGUCGUGUCCAUGAAUGAGGAUUACGAGUUGUCUUUGUUAUCCAACACAGAUAAGGAAUGGCGCAGGUACAAUGUAGAAUUUCUGCAAUUGUCUACAACGGACAUCUUUCAAGCACCUUCUCAAGAGAAACUGGAGGAAGGUGUAAACUUUAUUAAUAAAUUCCGCAACGUAUCAAAUGAAAAAUUUAGUCAUACAGGUAUCGUCGAUGGUCGCGACCAAUCUGGCACGGUUUACGUUCAUUGUAAAGCAGGAAGAACCAGAAGCGCGACAUUGGUCGCAUGCUAUCUAAUAACAAAAAACAAUUGGACGCCUGAAGAAGCGGUUGAUUACAUGCGAACGAAGAGGCCACAUAUAUUGCUCCAUACAGCUCAAUGGUCCGCGCUAAAGCAAUUUUACACGAGACAUUUACGACCUACAUCUUAGCUGAAAUUUUUUGUGAAUUAUUUCGUUGAUGUUUAUACGAAUGGGAAAUAAUAUAAAUAGAUUUCAUAUUUGCGACUAACAUGGGUUUGAAUCCCUUGAUAGGUCCGUGCUCUGCAUUAAAGAUUUGAAGUACAAUAUCCAUCCAAGUUUG